CAAAUUAUAUAUAUAUAAACUUCAUGCAGAAUGAGGUUCUUGAUGUCGCGUUAUUUAAUAUAUUAGUUUUUUCACUCCUUUGUAAAUAUUCACACAAACAUAUACAAUAAUUUAGCUGAUCCGAUCAAACAUCCUUAGUUUUUUCACUCCUUUGUAAAUAUUCACACAUAUACAAUAAUUUAGCUGAUCCGAUCAAACAUCCUGGACCCACCGCUGAUGUUAGGAAGCUUCUGCAUAAGCUGUGGUUAGUGUCUUAGUGAUAUCCCGCCAACAACCUGCCAGCAAAAGAUAAACUAAUGUCAGGUCAUGAUCAAGAAAAAUUUGCUAAUGUCAGCAGAAGAAGUCAUAACCAUGCAUAUAUGAAGCACUUUCAAAGAGUAGAUCUAACAGUGUCUGGUUUUCAUUUUUGGAGUUUUUUACCAAUGACUGGAGAGUAGAGAACAACACAUGAUCCCCGUUACAGUAUUGUUGCUUGAAUUUAUAGGCUUCAUCAAUCAGUACCUUCAAAUCCAUAUAUAAUGAGAUGGAAGAAUGAAUUUAAAUUUAUUAAUGUCAUUUCCGAGUUUUAAAAUGAUAAAGCAAGUUGCAACUGAUUCAUUGAAAUUUAAAACAUUCAUAAUGAAGUGCAAGAGCAAAAUAAAAGUUAGGAGCUUUACCUUCAGCAUAACAAGGAGUCUGCUGGAUCAGGCCCACUUUAUCUGCCGCUAUAGACCACCACCUCUUCAUCUUCAGCCUUCUCAAUAACACGGUCUCUUGUUUCUUCAUUUGAUUCUUCGACCACUACAGCUUCACCUUCAACAUUCUCAGUAGGCUCUGAUG
rnacentral:lncRNA from 1 species